rnacentral:rRNA from 1 species
UACGUAGGGUGCGAGCGUUGUCCGGAUUUAUUGGGCGUAAAGAGCUCGUAGGCGGUUUGUCGCGUCGGCCGUGAAAUCUCCACGCUUAACGUGGAGUGUGCGGUCGAUACGGGCAGACUUGAGUUCGGUAGGGGAGACUGGAAUUCCUGGUGUAGCGGUGAAAUGCGCAGAUAUCAGGAGGAACACCGGUGGCGAAGGCGGGUCUCUGGGCCGAUACUGACGCUGAGGCGCGAAAGCCAGGGGAGCAAACGGG